CCGCGAUGUCCAGGUGGCCGAGCGGCAGCGCGUCCUGCGGGCUCUUGAAGUAGUAGAGGUAACAGCGGCGCGCGUCGAACACGAACCAGCGGCUGCGGUAGCCGCGCAGCGGGCCCUUGCCCGACAGCUUCUGCAGGUCUGAGCUAGCAGCGCAAACGGCCCCCGCAGCCGGCGGAGCGGGGCCGUGAGGCGCGCCGGGCCGGGGUUCCAGUGACGUCAGCCACGUUUGCUGGGAUCCGCAUACCCGCCCACGAACCCCUCCUUCCCUGGGUCCCCCGGGAGUACUCCUGCCCCCCCCCCCCGGGAGCCCCUGUACACCCCGGGCCUCCGUGAGCACCUGUGUGCCCCGGGAGUCCCCGCCCCGCAGCCUGCGGCCUGUGCAGAUCGGCUGACCAGAGCCGGCAACACGCCAGAGCAGACCUACACGCCCGACUGGGGAACACCGAGGCCACCACUAGGCUUCACAAGGCGGACUGAGGGUGGUGGCCGGGGCAGCAGGGGCACACGCGGCCCUAGGGCCAGGGCAGCAGGGAGGCGACAGGAGCAGAGAUCUGGACAAGGGGCAGAGCCCACAAAGUGUGGUGGGAAGGGCCCAGGCAGGGUAGCUCUGCGAGCAAGCACCGCAUCUGAUGUGUCUCACCAGCAUCUGCACAUGUUUACAGACACACCAAGACGGGAGGAAAAUUUCUAAGAUGGGCAGGACACCAAGUUAGAUGCCCACCUGGACACAGGUAGGAGAGAGGCUCCUGGGCUCACCCAGCCAGCAGCUACAGGCCCUGCUUAGGGGCCCCACCAGCACCCCUGCUCCAGCCCAGGUCUGACUGCGCGGCCACAGCAAGGCGCCUCUCGCAGUGCCCUUUGGUUCUGAGUGCCGCUGGGCUUGCUGAGAGCUGGGGCCGGACUGGUCUGCUAGCUCUGUUGACCAGAGGUGUGACCUGGCAUAGUUAACCCCUCUGAGGUUCAUCUGUAAUAUGGGAUGAUACAGGCAGCUACUUUAUACCAGUGUCCUGUCAGGGUGGGAAAUGCAUGGAAGUGCUUAGCAUGGUACACAGAGGCUGUGACUUUUACCAUUCUUGUACGGCUGACACUGAUGUCUCCACAGUCAGCAGAUCCCAAGGGUGUGGGAGGCACUGUAACAGGAUGGGCCGCCUGGGGCAUGAGGGAACCAAGUUCAUUAGGGCCCUUUGGGCAGGGUGGGUUGUGAGUAAUCGGCUCAUGUGUGUGCACGUGUGUGUGACCAGGAAAUCCCUGGGACAGAAUAGAGCUGCAACCGCAUCUGUCCAGCUUGGUGGGCAGCUGUAUACAGGAGAUAUACAGAGGGCUACGGGGUGAAGUGGGGUACAGCCUGUCUCUGUCCUCACCUUUGUCAGUGAGUUGUGCAAUAUGGGGGUGGCUGUGGCCUUCGGUCCAGGAGGACAGACCUUAGUCUCAUGGGGUAUCUCAUGGAGGAACAUAUGUGCUAGGCACCGGGAAGUCACCCUUCACAGGCAGAGGGAGCCAGCCCAUCCCUGGGCCAGCUAGUAAUGACAAGGGAGACCUGCACAGCACUCCCUGGGCUGCUGUCUGUGCUUCUCAGUGGGCAAGCUAGGCCUCAGGCCUCACCCUCCUGUCUGGAGCCUCCACUCUUCCCUGGUCACCAUGGCAGAGGAAUGGACCUUUGAAUGUGCUUCCAUGCCCUGCCUUCCUCUUUGGAGGCCAGACCCCACAUCAUAUAAAACACUUUACAACGUCCCACAUCCCAUAGUCAACAUAUAAAUAAUUUUUUGCUCUAAAAAUGUUUGAUGGGAUUUCUAUAAUUAUGAUCUUGAUGUUAUCUGAGUAUGAGAAAUUCAUUUUAACGUAUGUUUCUCUACAACUUCUUGGAAAUCAUCACAGCUAUGCAGAAAUCCUGGCUGAGCAAGGAAAAGCCGACCUACAAAUUAUUUGCAAAGGCAAUGACAUUUUUUAUGAUUAUUAUGAAGUUGCCAUAAUAUUAUGCUUUGUAGACAUUUAAUUAAAUGCUUAUUAAUUUUAAUUUUGCUCUUUUUUUGGGUUUUGGAGCCAAUGUACAGUUGACCCUGGAACAAUACAGAGGUUAGGAGCAGGACCCCCAUGCAGUUGAAAACCCAUGAUUAACUUUUGACUCCCCAAAACUGAAGUACUAAACACCUACUGUUGACUGGAAGCCUUAAUGUUAACAUAAACAGUCCAUGAACACAUAUUUUGUAUAUUCCAUGUAUUAUAUACUGUAUUCUUACAAUAAAUAAGCUAGAGAAAAGAAAAUAUCAAUUAUAAGAUGAAGAAAAUGUACAGUACAGUAUUUACUGUACUGUACAGUGUUUAUUGAAGAAAAUCGCAUACGAGUGGACCCGUGCAAUUCAAACUGGUAUUAUUCAAAGGUCAGCUCUAUUUUUCUUAGGCCACAGACAUUUCAUAGGCCACUUGAAAGCUGGCAGGUGCAUGUGCUGGGCCUACAGUCUAAGGAAUGAACUGUUGAGGCCUCUGCCUGGCUCUGGCCAGGCCCAGAAUGUGGCCCUCUGAGGAGGCUGCUCAGUCACAUGCCCUGAGACCCCAACCAGGGGAAAAGUGUGAAGGUCUUGAUGCCAGUUGUAAGAUCUCAGCAGGGUCCCAGAGGGCCCGAGUCUCUCUGCCCAUCUGGCCCAGCUGAGUCGAAGUAGCCCACACCUGCCAAGGCUCCAGGGGGCUGUAGGUCCCUCCCGAUGGCUCCAGACUCCCCUGCCUGCCUGUCUCUCAGGGCCACACUGGCAGCUGGUUAUUUCCUAAGCAAACCCAGCAUCGGCCCCCCUUCCCAGGGCCGUGAGCUGAAGGCGGCUGGAUGGUGGAGCAUCAUCUCGUGUCCCAGCACCUCCCAUCUUCAGUCUGGACAGCUUUUGUUGCUUAUGUAAAAUGCUAAACAGAUGCAGCUUCAGUCCUCUCCCUUUUCUAACCAGAUUCCCCCACAGCUGUCCUGCAUGGAAAUUCUGGGCUGCCUCUGGCGGCUCCCAAUUCCUUGGAACCCUUCUCAAAGGGCUCAGUGACACUUUGCAGUUCCCAAGGUCACUUAGAUUAGAUGUCAACGUCUGGUGGACAGGCACCACCUUUGCACAGCCUGUGGACCUGCCCUGUGCCCGAGGUGGGUGUGCUUGGGGCCAGAGAGUCGGCCCUGGGAGUCCACAUGAGGUCCUGUCCCCUCAAGCCUCUGGGGAAUCCAGUGACCAGAAGGAAGUGGCCAACUUGGAGGAAGUGGCUGCUGUAUAUGAAAAGGGGAAAUUUGGGUGGUGAGCUUGCUCCCACCCUGGAGGCCCUGGAUCUCCCUGAGCUCAGGAACACCUAUGAAGAAAUCCCAGCAGCCAAGAGCAAGGAGACUGGAUGGACACGCAAGGUGGGCUCCAGGGCAGGGCAGGCUGCACAGCGGGCUCCAUGGUGGGGCGGAUGGGCACCCACCCUAGGGGGCCCCUGUUGGUAGGAGGGAUUUGCAGCCCCCAGCCAGGGCAGGGCAGGUGACCUGACCUCUUUUCCUGCCCAGAGGUGCCCAUAACUUUCCAGCUCUAACAUCUCCUUGGAAGUGGUGGGAGAGACAGCUGUCAGGUUUGGAUGUAAACUGGGGCUCCUGGUGUUUCUGGGGUUUUCCUCUGCAGUCCACUCGGCCACUGCAGGAGUCCCAGGGCCUGAGAGGUGGGAAAAGGCCCUGGCUCCAGGUUUGACUUGCCUCAGCCCAGUCAUGGCUCAGCCACUCCCCAGCCAUGUGGCUUUGGGCAAGAGUUUCCUGACAGGUUGGAGAUUUAGCAAGAUAAGAUACAGGAUACCCACUCAAUUUGAAUUUCAGAUAAACAAUAAGCAUUCUUUUUUUUUAAGCAUAAUUAUAUCCCAAAACAUUAUUCCUUGUUUAUCGGAGCCAAAUUUCUUUGGGCAUCUUACUCAGCAGCCCACCCAGGACCUCCCUUUCAUCCUCUGUAGAACGGCCGGUCCUCCUGCUGUGUUCAGGGGUGGCUGCCCAGGGGGUAGUCCUAGACAUCCUCAAGCGCUCAGGACACAGCCUAGAGCCUUCUAGAAGUGGAGUAUUGUUUCUGAGGCUAGGAAAGGAUGGCCAGCAGGGAUCAGAA